ensembl:lncRNA
GUGAUCUCAGAUCCUGGGGUGCUGCCUGCACCUGACUCCAACUCAGGGCCUCUCAGAUGAUCACAAUGGACGGGUACCUGCCCAGCCCAGUGGGUCCCAGUCAUAGGUCUCUUUGUACUCUUUCACCUUGGGAAGCACCACCCCUGGAGACAUUCAAGUCUCUGCUGGAACUGAGGUUGUUGCCAAACUAUGAUGCAGCCAUGUGACUAUGACCAAGACACCCACGUCAUGAACCCACCCACUCAGGACGUUGAUGCCACAGUCAAAAUGCCACCUGCCUGGGACAGAUGCCUCCUGCCAUAUUCCUUGUGGGCAUGCUUCCAAAUUGGAUCUCAAGAAAGCAGAUAAAUGAAGGAAGAACCAAGCCUGGAAGUGGGCACUAAGGAGGAAUUAUUCUCAGCAAAGUCUGGGACUGGCCUGAAGGAGACAGACAUCUCCAGGUAGAGGGAGCAUCCUGCUGUUCUCUGGUAAAUCAAAGAGGAACAGGCGGCUCCUGCCCCCCUCAUGCCUGGCCUGACCCCAGCCUUUCAUGUGCAGCGGCCACAGGGAGGAGAGAACGCACAAAACCAGAACAAACCCCCCAAAGUAAAGGCUUAAAAUGAAACCAUUUCACAGGGACAAUACUCUGUUCUUCUUUAAACUCUACCCAAGAACAAAUGGGAGUCUUUUUUUCAGUGGAAAGACUGGAUUUGGGCUUUUAUCCUCAGAGGCCUUUAUUUGGGGUACCUCUCCCACCUCCACUCCUUUCAUUAUUUCAGAACUUCUUAGAGGCUGGGGUGGGGGCGGGGAGGUGGACAGGAGCCUCCAACCUGCCCCAGGUGGGGACCCACAGCCUGGGUCUGGGGGUGCUUGGUCUUGGGCCAACUUGGGUUGGGGGAAUAAUGAAGGGUCAGCCUUUGUCU